GAUGAACGCUGGCGGCGUGCUUAACACAUGCAAGUCGAACGGUGAAGGCGGAGCUUGCUCUGCUGGAUCAGUGGCGAACGGGUGAGUAACACGUGAGCAAUCUGCCCCUGACUCUGGGAUAAGCGCUGGAAACGGCGUCUAAUACUGGAUACGAGCUGCGAAGGCAUCUUCAGCAGCUGGAAAGAACUUCGGUCAGGGAUGAGCUCGCGGCCUAUCAGCUUGUUGGUGAGGUAACGGCUCACCAAGGCGUCAACGGGUAGCCGGCCUGAGAGGGUGACCGGCCACACUGGGACUGAGACACGGCCCAGACUCCUACGGGAGGCAGCAGUGGGGAAUAUUGCACAAUGGGCGAAAGCCUGAUGCAGCAACGCCGCGUGAGGGACGACGGCCUUCGGGUUGUAAACCUCUUUUAGCAGGGAAGAAGCGAAAGUGACGGUACCUGCAGAAAAAGCGCCGGCUAACUACGUG
rnacentral:rRNA from 1 species